UGACGCGCAUGAAUGGAU
rnacentral:ncRNA from 2 species